ACGUGAUCCGACCGGAAGCGGUGGCCAACUGAGGGGAAGUGUGCCCGAGCGGAGCAGACCUGAGGAGUCAUAUUUACGUUUAUUUUAAACGGCUCAAUAUUGGACAUUUAAUCUCAAUGGAGAGAUCAGAAAAGAUUACAGCACCUGAAACUGUUCUGAUAACUGGUGGGGGAGGUUAUUUAGGAUGCAGAUUGGGGUGCACCCUGCAGAAGAUGGGCCAUAAGGUGAUUCUGUUUGAUAUCCACAGUCCUUUAGAGGAAGUGCCUGAUGCAGUGAGCUUCAUAAAGGGAGAUGUCUGCAACUAUCUGGAGGUGGAGGCUGCACUCAGGAAUGUAGAUUGUAUCUUCCAUUUAGCUUCGUAUGGCAUGUCUGGAAGGGAGCAGUUAAAUGUAAAGCUGAUAGAGAAUGUUAAUCUUAAAGGAACAGAUAAUGUAAUCAAGGCAUGCCUGACGAAUGGCAUACCAAGACUUCUUUAUACAAGUACAUACAAUGUUGUAUUUGGGGGCCAAGUAAUUGAAAAUGGAGAUGAAUCACUCCCUUAUCUUCCAUUGCACCUUCACCCAGAUCACUAUUCAAGGACCAAAUCUUUAGCAGAAAUGAAGGUGCUACAUGCCAAUAGCACAAAGCUAAGGAAAGGCACUGGCGUGUUACGAACUUGCGCUCUCCGGCCAGCAGGCAUCUACGGACCUGGUGAGCAAAGACAUCUUACAAGGAUAGUUAAUUAUAUAGAGAAUGGACUCUUCAAGUUUGUAUAUGGGGCAGCAGAUUCUCUGGUGGAGUUUGUCCACGUUGACAACCUUGUUUCUGCAGAAAUACUAGCAUCAGAAGCUCUAAAAGGAGGAAGAAAUUACAUAGCAGCUGGCCAAGCUUACUUUAUCUCUGAUGGCAAACCAGUGAACAACUUUGAAUUUUUCAAACCUUUGGUGGAAGGCCUUGGCUACAAAUACCCCACAAUUCGGCUGCCACUCAGGCUGAUUUACUACUUUGCUUUCCUAACUGAAAUCAUUCAUUUUUUUGUAGGUCGCAUUUAUAAUUUUCAACCAUUUCUAACUCGCACAGAAGUCUAUAAAACAGGAGUCACUCAUUAUUUCAGCAUACAGAAGGCUAGAAAAGAUCUAGGGUACCAUCCAAGGGAACACAGCUUUAUGGAAAUAGUGGAGUGGUUCAAAACACGCGGUCAUGGGCGGAAAUCAUCGCGGUUUAACAUUAGGCGCCUUAUGUCAGAUGUCAUAUUUUUACUGUUGCUGUCGCUUGUUAUCAUGUCUUGGUUUCCUGUCGUUUCAGCAUAAUAUUCUAUGCAAUUAAUAUUUUGCUGAAUGUUUCUUACAGCUCAGAGUUUACUGGUAAAAUUUGAUAUUUGACAUGGGUUUGAAAAUAGAGGAAACAACGUGUUCAGUGUAUUUUCACGAUACAAUGAGCUUCAAUUAUCUGACAGCCUGACAUCAUGAGAGUCAUCUUGGUUUUAAUCUUCCCGUGAAGAUAAGUUAGUGGGAAGAAAAGUUGCAGUCAGAAAGGAAUAAGAACUUAGAUGCUAUGAAAUAAACAGGCAAUCAUGCUCCUAUGUGCCUGCUGCCUUUGCCCUCCUUGUUGGAAGGGUUUCGAGAUGUUAGGCUAGCUGAGGUCAGUAACUAUAAGCAUUGAUGGUACAUACUGCAUCCUCAGUGAGCCAGUGGCAAAGGGAAUGAAUGUUAACUGAGGUUGAAAGGGGACCAGUUGAGAGCUAUUUUGCUCAAUCACACCAAACUACAUGAGAAUUGCUGGAGCUGCAUUCAUCCAGACAAGCAUUUCUGACUUGUUAUCUGAUUGUUUGAGGCUAUUACUGCUUUACAUUUUGCCUAUCAUGAUUAUAAGUAGUAUGUUUAUAUAUUGAAAUAGAAAAAUGUAGAAACAUUUUAUUGAACUUAAGGAAUUUAAUCAAAUCUCUAACUGAAUUAAUGGGAAACAAAAAGUGGAAUAUUAAUUUAAAUAAAGAUAUUUUAUAUUAUUUAUUUUUAAAUUGCUUUUAAAAUAAGUAACGUCUCAUUUUUAUAUUUCCAAAUGGCAUGAAGGCCACUUGGCCUAUCAAACCUGUGGCAGCUCUCCAGAAAUUCCCAUUUGUUUCAUUUCCUCACAGUUCCCUAUAACCUAUCCUCUUUUAUAUGCCUAAUAACUUUACCUUGAAUCUACUGCUACCCACCUCCAUUACAAAUUAUCCUUCUGCAAGCAAUUAACCUACCCACCAGCAGGUCCUUGAGAUGGGGGAGGAAAUGAGUACCUGUCAAAUGCUCGAGUCACAGGAAGAGCAUAUGAACUGUGUACUGGAAGUCAGGAGGUCGCUGGAGCCAUACAACAGUAGCACCACUAUUAUGCCAUUGCACCACCAAAAAAAAAUCAAUGUCUAAUCUGAGUGAACUCAGUCACUAACCUUCCAGUUAUUUGUUGAAUGCAAUAACCAGUUGCAGUGUUGAACCUGACAUACGUCAUCUUCUUCACAAUCUUUUGCAUAAAUUAAAACAUGUUGAUGAAUAUAUAUGAAUUUUAAAAUAGUUGAGAGCAUUUUUUUCAGUUAAGCAGAAGUGAGAGAGACCCUUGAUAUGAAAACAUGCAGCAAAGAUUAUAUUAUCAGCUGAAGGGAAUUUGGCAAAUCUUUUAGCUUUUAUCAUGUAACUCUUAAGAGGAAAGGCAAAUCUGAAUUGAGGUCUUUUUAACAAUUUUUAUUUUAGAUUUCUGGUCAUUUCCAGCAAUUAUUUUUGUAUGCAAUAUUUGCACUAAAGAAGGUAAUCUUAAGCAAGAUAAUUUGAUGGACUAAUGUUUAGUAAUAAUUUCUAUGUAGGUACAAUGCUGCAUUUUAAAAUAAAAAUGAUUGUCAGGCAAACCUCUAGCAAAAAAAGUUAUAUUGUUAAUAUGUAGCAUUUUUAAAGGUAUUUAAAACAUUGCAUUUAUUACUAAUAAAUUUAUCUUGCAAAUUUCUGUUUAAUAGUUUGAAUGACUAUUUUGUUCAUUGUGUUUUUCAUAUGAAAAAUAGUGAGAUUCAAUAUGGAAAUAGGCCUGCAUUAAUCAAGUACCCCAACUAGUUGAAAAUGUAUGCACCUCAUAUUUAAUGGGCUCUGCUUCGUAAAUAACCACUUUGGCCACACUCUUUCAGAAAGAAAUGUAACAAUUAUUGUGGUUGGCCAAACUUUGUUGCCAUUAAUAUUCUUGAUACCUACCAAGAUUUAUCUUUACAUAGCACUUUUAUAUAUUUAAGCCACUGCACAGAAACAAGAAGAGAAUCCCUAAUCAUAGGAGGAGAUGUCAGGAGGAAUUGGUACGAGGUGCAUUUGCCAUUUGACACUCUGUUUUACAACCAAAAACAUUACACAGGGCAAUACACAAUAAUGUAUAUCACUUGACUGCUUGAUAUUGUGGUGGCCCUUGUGUGAUAUCGUCGAUCCAAUUGACUGAAAAAUAUGGUGUAUUCACAUAAGGAAAUUUUGGGAUACAAGCCAAUAGGAAACUCUUAAGCUUCAUAGUAAAUGAGGCACCUACAUUUGAAUGUUCAUGGUGUAAUUUUAUACAUGUAAUUAUAUAAUUUUACAUAAUGCUCAGAUACUAUGGCAGUUAAUAUAUAAUUGCGAGUACUUAAAUCAUAUUUUAGCAAUUAACGUACACUGAAUCGGAAACAAAUAUAUGAAUAUUUAUUUGUACAUGUUAAAUAAUUGAGAAUACAAAGCAAAAUACACAAUGUUCAGAACGGUUUUACUUUUUAAAAUAGCAUGAAACUACCCAAAUUUAUCCUUAAAAAUGUUGAAAUGUCUAUAUUUAACCAAAUCAAAUUUAAAGUCAACAAAGCUACUUUUUUCCCCCCCAUUUUCAUUUUUUUCCAGAAACAAAUGCAAAAAAAGUUAACAGAUUCUGGAAAUAACAUGACCUACCUUUCAUUUUACAAGGAUUGCUUCCCUUCAAUUAAGUGGAAUUUAACUGCCAAAUUGCUAUAACUAGAAAUCAUUCAUCAGAAGUUAUGUAAGAUAACAGAGAAAGCAAAAAGAAAAAUAUAAAGACAUUUUCCAUCAGGUCAAGAAAGUCAUUAGCAUUCCUUAGAUUUUUGUUUGAGCCAAAAAUUCUUCACUUGUUUUGUACUUCAAAUGUAGUUUUAUAAUUGAACAUUUUAAAUAUGAAAUGGAAAAACUGGAUUGGAAGGACAGAAUAUUAUAUGCUCCAAAACAAAAAGUACUUAAAAUGUAAACCAAGUAUUUUGCAUCGUAUGCCCAGUGACUUAUUUCCCGCUUACUGUGUAUUUUGAGCCUUGUGGAUUUGUUUCAAGUUACUAUUAUUGCAGUUAUGCUUUUCUGUCUUUCAGCACUCGCACAAUGGCUUCUUACAUAAUAACAGUCUAAUAUCUCAUCUAUGUACUGUUCAAUUGUGCUUUUUAUGGAAGAAUAUUGCCUCACAAAGUACAAUGGUUGGAUGGCUUCAAUAAUGUCAUUUCUUCAAUAUGUGACCAAAUCAUAAUUUCAGAAGUGCAUGAUCUCAAAUUAAUAUUCAAAUAAAUUAUGUAUACAGCCUUUUUGAAAUUUCUGCACUAAUUUCUGCAAAGAAUGGCCCAAAGUACACAUUUUGAAGAGUGACACCAAAAGGUAAAAAUUAAUCAGAUUUACAACCGUAUUGCUAAAAUAUGUAAUUCUGUAAAUACAAAGAUGUAAUUCUUAAAUACAAUUUUAAAUGAUUGGAAGAAGCAGUACCUUAGCAUUUUGUAACUUUGGUACUUGAUCAGAAAAGGUGGAAAUUGUGUUAAUUAUCCAGAGCAAUGUUAAAAAUAUCUUUCAAAGAAAAUUGUAACCUAUUUUCAGUCUGAUAUUUAACAAUGACUUAGACAUUUAUUACAUAGUAUUAUGUAGAAGUAAUGCACUCAGGAAAAGGCACAUUAGAAAUGUUUAUAUUUGUAUUCCUCACAUUAAAUUUAGUUAAAAACAAAAAAAAACUCACAACAACCUGGUAUGACUUUUGUCAGUAUAAACCAGCCAUUGAUAUUUACAUAUUUAAGCUACCAUCACCCUCAAAGUCCCAUUUUUUUCCUAAAGUAACAGAAGUUGCAAACAUACAAGAACUUAAUGAAUUUUAAAUUUUUCAUUGCUGAACUUACUGAAAAUCUUUAGAUUUUAUGACAAAUAUACAUUCAUAAAGAAAUUAUGUAGCGCAUUUAUAAGGAGAAUGUACAUUGAGCAAAUAACUUAAAUGCAUUCUGCUUCUGAUGAAAACAAUUGCAAACAUUGUAGAAAUACUUGCACGGAAUGCUAAAUGAAGUGUCAUUAAAGGAUUUUUUUUAAAACUUCUACACUACAAAGAGUGUAUAGAAAUACUUUUCUGAUUGUAAUUCAGUUUUUGGUAAAUUAUUUACCUUCUUGUGACUUAUCAUUCCAUAUAAGAUACACUUCCAGUUUUCCUUUCCAUAGAUGCUGCCUAACCUGCUGAAUUUCUCCAGGAUUUUGUGUUUCUAGCUCCAUUUUCCUUAAGUCCCUGACAUAUUACCUCAAUUAUUAGUCACACUGCACAUACAGGGUCUGUAGAUGUGGUAGCAUGCAUAAAGUGAUUUUUUUUUGAGCUACCACAAUUAGGUAGGAAGAAGCUAGACAGUGAUUUUCAAGCCGUACAAAAAGUUGGAAUCAAAAUUACAUUUUCUUAUACUUUAAAUAUCAAGAUGCUGGGCUGGUGAGAAAUAUUUUUGUUUCAGAAAGUAACCAAGAAGCCAGUAAUGGAAUACUCUCUACAUCGAGUUAAUAGAGACCGUUUUAGCAACAGGCAUAAAAAUAGUUGAAGUUGAACAAAUUAAUCAAAAUUCCAGUGUGGAUAAUGGCUUAUCAAAAGGUCAAAUGCAGUUUUAUACCAGAGAUUAAUGUUUCUUGUGGGAGAAUUGAAUUUCGCAAGCCUAUAUAAAUUAUGUAAAAAAAGACUUUUCAUUAACUUUUUCAUUAUAAUAGGAGGAAGAUGUUCAUGUUUUAACACAAACUAUAAAUUAAAAUGUACUCAUAUUCUUAUAAAUACAAAAAAGUACUUGGUUUUCUGAACUCCAUUUACUUGAAACAUUGAAUCUUUUAACAUGGCAUAUGCUGUGCAUAAUUUUCUGAAUUUUCACCUCAGCCCAUUGAUUCUGUUUAAGUCACAUAAUGCAAUAAUUUCAAUAGCUGAAUGACAAUCAUGAUCUUUAAGAUAAAUUAUAAUUUACAGUACUGUAGUAUUUCUAUUGAAAUUAUGACAUAGUUGAUAUACUAUUUUUCCUCACUACCCGAGGCCAAGCUAAUUCUGUCUGUGUUCCACAUUCGUUGGGUAUAAUCAUGUUGCUCACAUGACCUUUUACCAAGUUUUUUUUAACCUCUUUGGAAAAUGUUUAACUUGUAAAGCAAAGCACCUUUGGUCAUUUGUUUUCUUCUGCAUUGAAGACAUUGGAUAUGUCAUUAACGGUUUCAGUGUAUUUUAGUUAUAAGCCAAUAUCUGAGCUCAAACCCGGACUCCAUAUGAUAUCCUGUUCUAUAUUGGCCCGGUACUCUGAAAAUUAUCUGAAGUUGGAACACAGGUAUACAGUACUGGGCAAAAGAAUCAGGUACAUAGAUAUACAGUGCCUAUAAAAAGUAUUCACCCCCAUGAAGACAAAAGAACACUCUAAGCAAUUCUGCGAAAAGGAUAUUGAAAAACACAAGUUGGGAUGGAUACAAGAAAAUUUCCAAGUCACUGAAUACCCCUUAGAGGACAGUUGAGUCAAUCAUCAAAGAAUGGAAAGAGUAUGACAGGAUGUCCUCAAAAACUAAGUGACCAUGCAAAGAGGGGUUUAGUGAGGGAGGCCACCAGGAAACCUAUGUCAACUUUGGAGGACUUACAACCUUUAGUGGCUGAGAUAGGAGAGACUGUGCAUAGAGCUGUUGUCUGGGUGCUUCACCAGUCGCAGCUUUAUCGGAGAAUGCAAAGAGAAAGCCACUGCUGAAAAGAACUCACAUGAAAUCUCGGCUAGAGUUUGCCAGAAGGCACGUGGGAGCUGGAAGAAGGAUCUAUGGUCUGAUGAAACUAAAAUUAAGCUUUAGGCCAUCAAACUAAAUACUAUGUUUGGCUUAAGCACAUCAUCAAAAAUACACCAUCCCUACCGUGAAGCAUGGUGGUGGCUGCAUCAUGCUGUGUGGAUGCUUCACUGCAGCAGGCCCUGGAAGGCUUGUGAAUGUAGAAGGUAAAAUAAAUGCAGCAAAAUACAGGGAAACCCUGGAGGAAAACCUGAUGCAGUCUGCAAGAGAACUGUGACUUGGGAGAAGACUUGUUGUUCCACAAGACAAUGACUCCAAAUAUAAAGCCAAAGCUACACAGGAAUGGCUUACUAACAACAAAGUUAAUGUCCUGGAGUGACCAAGUCAGAGUCCAGACCUCAAUCCAAUUGAGAAACUGUGGCUGGACUUGAGAAGGGCUGUUCACUCAAGAUACCCAUGCAAUCUGAUAGAGCUUGAGCAGUUUUAUAAAGAAGAAUGGGGAAAAAUUGCAGUGUCCAGGUGUGCAAAGCUGAUAGAGACAUAUCCACUCAGACUCAAGUCUGCCUCUACUAAAAACUGACUUGAAGGUGAAUACUUAUGCAAUCAAUUAUUUUGUGUUUUAUAUUUGUAAUUAAAUAACUUCGUAGAGAUCUGUUUUCA